rnacentral:rRNA from 1 species
GACGAACGCUGGCGGCGUGCUUAACACGUGCAAGUCGAGCGGAAAGGCCCUUCGGGGUACUCGAGCGGCGAACGGGUGAGUAACACGUGAGUAACCUGCCCCAGACUUUGGGAUAACCCUCGGAAACGGGGGCUAAUACCGGAUACGACACAGCUUCGCAUGGGGUCUGUGUGGAAAGUUUUUCGGUUUGGGAUGGGCUCGCGGCCUAUCGGCUUGUUGGUGGGGUGAUGGCCUACCAAGGCGACGACGGGUAGCCGGCCUGAGAGGGCGACCGGCCACACUGGGACUGAGACACGGCCCAGACUCCUACGGGAGGCAGCAGUGGGGAAUAUUGCACAAUGGGCGGAAGCCUGAUGCAGCGACGCCGCGUGAGGGAUGACGGCCUUCGGGUUGUAAACCUCUUUCAGCAGGGACGAAGCGUAAGUGACGGUACCUGCAGAAGAAGCGCCGGCCAACUACGUG